rnacentral:misc_RNA from 1 species
GAAAUUCACCAUUGACUUGCUAAUCACUAAUUUUAUGCUUCAUUGAAUGUUGAAACUCUCGUGAAAGUCGAAGAGGCCAAGCCAAACCCAUGCAAUCUAAGGAAAUAGGUGACCAACUCAAUCAUAGAAUAUUUGAUAAGACUGUCAGCAACUUGCUAUUGGUCAUUUGGCAUCAUGGCUAAAAGAAUAAUUAGGUGUGCCAAGUGCAUUUCGCUGGGCAUCACAUGAUUGGUCCCAUAUGAUGGAAUCCACCUGCUGUGAAAAGGCUCCACACAGUACUGUACCAGGCCAAUGUAAAACAUCAACUCAGGCAAAUCAACCAUGAUGUCGGGGCACUACAUUGUCCAGAAACACACAACUACCACAAAUCUAACACCUGGAAAAUUCUGUGCGUACAUCAAAAUAUUCACAUGACGAGAAUUGGCUCUUCCCUUUCAAUAAAUCCCUUUUCUCGGCCCAAAGGAUAUGAACUUGAGAUCUCUGUGAUGAGUUCCCAAGCUUUCACUGCUGAGCUGACCUUUUAAAAAAUUCUUUAUUUCCAUUUCAAUGACAUUAAAAUUUGUCAACUUAUGGAAAAAGAAAAAGAUUACAAGUGACAAUCAUUUGAAAGAGUUGCCUACUGUACACAAACUUUGAAAUCAUAAAAUAAAUUCAUUCCAAGUCUCCCUCAAUCAUUACAGCUAUUUCCAACCCAGUACUGUGAUUUCGAAUAAUUUGACUCUGAAUCAGGUCUCUGCACAUGACACAUACCACUUGCUAAUAAAGAGCCAGGUUAGGAAAGUAGUUGACUAAUGCUCCCGCCUUUGGCCAAUUAUCCCAUUUCCACUCUUAAUAAAGCAAGAGAGCAAAAGUGGCCAUAAACAAACAGUUUCCACAUCUUAGAGCCCAUUUGGUGGACAUGUUUUAGUUGCUUAUCCAACCUGCUUUUUGCCAUCUUUUUACUACUGAUGGAACAAGAAUUUGCGAAAAGCGGUCCAUUAGCAGUGCAAAAUGGGGCUUUAUUCCAGAUAAACAAAAUAUCACCGAGUUCUUGACCCUAGCAUAUUUAAACUACUGAUCAGGUCCCCAACAUAGCUCGCUAUGCUUAACUACAAAGUAUAAAAUUUAAGCCCCAGUAGCAUGAUCUCAUUUACAGAAAAGCAACAAAAUAUAACUUCAUAUGGAUGAAAAUGGCUCCCCUCCUCACCUCAAAGAAAGAAAAAAUAAAAACAAAAAAAGUGCAUUACUAAACUAAAUGGCAUAGAUGAAUUAAAGUUGCAUGAUACAAAUGAUUACGGUAAAGCACCAACCAUAUCAGUAAUUGCCUGAGGCAGGAAGUCAUCUUGGAGUGCCUAAUAACAUUAUCAGUAUCAUGGGCACAGUAAGGAAUGCUCAGAAUAAAAAUUUCAACAUACUUCAGAACUGUGAGUAAGCAAUAAAGAAGAUCAAAGCAGUAGAUGGUAAUAAGACAUUGGAAAGGUUACUAUAUCAAGACUUUCACCUAUAACCAUAAAAUAAACAAUCAGAUUCCAUCAACCAUCAUGUAGUAUAAUAUGAGCGUGAUAAUAUAAAAAAUCAAAGAUCGUAACUUCAAAUGGCUUUAAUUUUUGCAAUAUGGCGCUUGUAAGAGUAACAGUAUCCAUAUAUUAAUACGGCCAUUUUUGAAAAAUAUAGAAAUCAAACACAUCAUACAUACCUCGAGACAAAAACAAAAAACUCAACUAAAUCACAACUCAACUAAAUCACGGCUCUCCUUUGUCGAACCUUAGCCUUCUCAGCAUCAAUAAUUGAUUCAACCAGCUUCACCGCGUAAUCCAACUUCCCCUCAGCAUUCACAACCACAUAAUCAAAAUUCUUGAUGUGUUGCACCUCCUCUCUGGCGGUGGCAACCCUCACAAGCAAAGACUCUGCUGUCUCCGUCUUCCUAUCAAUCAACCUAUCCACAAGCUCCAACUCGCUUUCCGCUACCAAAAAUAUAAACACAGCCGAAUUCCCCAGGAUCUUCCUCAAUGUCUGUGCUCCCUGUAUAUCUACCCUCAACACAAUAUCAUACCCUUUUGCCAUAUAAUCCGUAAUCUGCCUUUUUGGUAUCCCCUUAUAAUCACCAUACACAAGUGCAUAUUCUAACAGCUCAUUUUUAUCCACCAUCGAUAAAAAUUCCUCCUUUGACACAAAAUAAUAGUCCUUACCAUCAACCUCGCCCGGACGCAUUGGCCUGCUAGUCGCAGUUACAACAAAAUGCAAAUUUUCUCGCCCUUCUCUCAAUUUUCUGAUAACUGCGUCUUUGCCAACCCCACUCGGGCCGCUAAUUACAAUGAUUAAAGGAUUCGGCGGUGGGCAAAUGGGUUCACUGCUGAAUGAGGAACCCAAAGAGGACUCGAGGGCACGGAGCAAUUCGGGUUUAGUUGCCUUUUCAAGUUGUGGGAUAGUGGAUUUGGGUUUGUGGGUAUCACCCAUUUUGGUAAAAGAUGCAGAGAAUCGGUGGCGGGCAGAAUUGAAAAGGCGAGAACUUGGUUUGUGAGAGAUUUGGGAGCAGAUAGGGGUUUGGACGUGAAAGAAUGAGGAGUGGAGAAUAGCAGAGCGGGAGUAAGAGAAGCAGAUUCUGCGAAACAUGAGGAGGAUUGACAGGUUGGUGGUGAGACUAUACGAAGAGGAGAAAGCGAAGUAUUUAAUUAGGAUCUACAAGGGCAUCGUUUGUGGUUAGGGUUUUAGGUCACUGGAAAUGGAAUUUGUUUUGAUUCUAUUUUUUUCAGCUGCUGCUGACAUCUCACGCUCCAUUUUUUUUCCCCCAAAAUAUAAAUGAGACGAAAAAGCAAAAUGAAUAAAGGGAAGCUUUACGUUUCCUCCCUUUUCCCGGGGGAAAAAUUACUUCUAUUUUUCUCUAAAUUUUCUUUGAUUUUUAAUGAUAGAGCAUUUUUUUUCAUAAAAUUUAAAACAUAUUAAUGUUUUUUUUUUUAAGGAAA